UCCAGAGAUGCUGCCUGUCCCGCUGAGUUACGCCAACAUUUUGUGACUAUCUCUGGUUGGCACUUUAAUUGGUCACUGUAAAUUGAUGUAGUUUAGGUGAAUGGUAAUCGGGACGAGUGGUUGUGGGAGCAAUAAGUACAAAAUGGGAUUAGUGCGAGAAUAAUGUGUUUGGUUAUUUGAUGGUACAGACAUGAUGGGCUGAGGACCUGUUGCCGUGUUGUAUGACUCUACCACCUUCCUGAUCUCUACUCCCAGCCAGCUGUCUAUUGUGAGGCUGAAGUGAAGCCAACUCUCUCGAGCUGUGAUUUGCAAUAACCUCUGUGUCACAUCUUUUACACACUAAAAUGUACCAAGUUGCUUCACAGGUGUGGAUAUAUAACAACAUCAGGAUUCACAGGAGGUGAGGAUUGGAAGAUUGUCAAGCCAGGUAGAGGGGAUGAGGGGAACAAGACCAUGUUGGAAUUAGGAAAAAUGGGUGAGAAUUGGAAAAUUAAAGCAUUGUGAAGGCAGGAAGCACACAAGGCCUACAGUGACAAGGGAAACACAUGUUGAUGGUCAGUAGAAUUCCUCAUCUUUAUUAUUUUUUGGAAAGGCCUUUGGACUGAGGAUGACUUGCUCCACUCUGGUUUGUGAGUUCUGAAGUGGUUGACGAGGGCAGAGUCCACAGUUGGGGCAGGAGGAAGCAAACAUAGAUUGGCAGGUAAUGUUCUGCGUCUGCUGUUUACACGUGUGCUGCACAUCAACACGAGUCAAUUUAUGGGGUCCAUCCAUAGCACUAGUCGAGAUGUCAGGGGUUAUGGGGAGAAGACAGGAGAAUGAGGUUGAGAGGAAAAGAUAGAUCAGCCAUGAUUGAAGUGUAGACUUGAUGGGCCGAGUGGCCUAAUUCUGCUCCUAUCACAUGAAUUUAUGAAGUUGUGCGGGAGCUUCAAUGGAAUUUGUCUGUGUGUGAAGUUUGCAUGUUCUCCCUGUGACCACGUGGGCUUCCUCCAUUGUGGCGUAAUGAUCAUUUAAAAUGUAUCUUUCUCCAAUCAGAGUGAUCGUGGGCCAGAGAUUCUCAUGUCAAAUUUACAUCAUGUUGUAAAAAUAUUUACAAGAGGCUUUGAGAAUCUCCUUGAAUAUUCCACCCAUCUGGUAAUUUCUAUAUCCGCUUGGGCAGCCUGCACCCUAGUGGUAUAAACAUUAAAUUGUCCCAAUUCCGUUAGCCCUUGCUGUCUCCUCCCCUUCCUAGCUCUCCCUCAGGCCUCGGGUUCCUCCUCCUCCUUUUUCCUUUCUUCUCCCCGCCCCCCCCACACCCUCCAUCAGUCUGAAGAAGGGUUUCGGCCCGAAACGUUGCCUAUUUCCUUCGCUCCAUAGAUGCUGCUGCACCCGCUGGGUUUCUCCAGCACUUUUGUCUACUUGGUAAUUUCUAAUCUGAGCUCUGUCAAAGGAAGAGUCUUGUGUUGGGCAUGUCAAUGUUGUGACCUACCCAUUGGAACUCAGAGUGCAGCGAGAUCCUAAAUACUGAGGAAUUUGGUCUGGGAAAGGAUGUGGAGAUUUGCUCAAACACAGGUAGGUUUGUGUUUGUAUAGUGCCUUGAAUAGCCUUCAGAAUCCCAGGAGGUUUUAUUGUACCUCAGGCAAAUUAGACAGCAUUGAAAUGGAGUUAGUGCUGUACUGUGACAACACAAAUUACGUGAAACAGGAUUGCCAGCUUGCAUUCAACAAUGUCCCUUCAGCAGCAAUGAUAUAAACAAGCAGUCAAUUUAUUUAAUUUGUUCAAGUCAGGAUAUCGUUCAAUAAGUGCUGUGAGAUCCUGGUUCCUCCUCAUUUGAAAGAUGGCACUUCCCACCACAACACCAGAUCAGAUUAAAGCUGGAAUACAGACUAAAUUAAGAGGAAAGACCCAUCUGAGCCAAAGCUGACCCAUUAGUUCUGGCGACAACACUUGAACAGAUUAAUGUAUGUGCUUGAUUGAAACCUGGUACAGAUGCUGUACAAUAAUUUUCUGAUGUAAAAUUCUUCAUUAUUUUGUAGAUCAGGACGUUCAUUUAUUUUAAUGAGUGAUGUUACAAUGUGCUCUUGGAUUCUUCUCAAUUGUUGAUUUUAUGAUCAAUAUUUUUGUACAUUUUCAAUAAAAUAUAAUUGCCAACCUCCA